UACAGAGGUCUCAAGCGUUGUUCGGAUUCAUUGGGCGUAAAGGGUGCGUAGGCGGCGCGGUAAGUCGGGUGUGAAAUCUCGGAGCUUAACUCCGAAACUGCAUUCGAUACUGCCGUGCUUGAGGACUGGAGAGGAGACUGGAAUUUACGGUGUAGCAGUGAAAUGCGCAGAUAUCAGGAGGAACACCAAUGGCGAAGGCAGCUCGCUGGGACGGUACUGACGCUGAGGCGCGAAAGCGUGGGGAGCAAACAGG
rnacentral:rRNA from 1 species